ACCCAUAAGAAAAUGCCACAGGCUACGUCUGAAGGCUCCACAUGCACUGUCAAUACCUACAUCAAUUUAACAGAAGAAGUCUUGAGAAAAAGUAAAUUCUUCCAGAGUGUCCGUGAGCUUUGUAGCACUUUAUAAAUAAAGAAAGAGAAAGAAACAGAAAGAAGUAAAAUGAGAAUCUGUCUAGCAAGGCUUUUAUUCAUAAUAUAAAAAGAGAUAAGGGCGCAUAAAGGGAGCAAAUAAGAUAGUGUUUCUGAUUGCUAAACACAUUACUCAUUGCUAUUUAUAUCCAAUCGAAAUUAGACAUGCACAAUCGUGUGACAACGUUUUUGGAAACACUAGGAACCUUUACUGACUUUACCGGCUGCCAAAAAUACACAUUAGAUAAAAAUACUUUAAAAGUAAGGGACGUUGCGAAGUUUUCAUUAAACAUCUCAUAUACUUACUAAUAUUUUAAAUGUCUAUCAAUUAAACAUAAUAUGGAAUUAAUACAUCUCACACGCCUACGGUCUGGCUCGUGUAGCGAUUUACUAUUAUCUAUUUAUCACAUAUAAGAUACGUAGUUUGCUUAUAGUAUUGGAUCUUUAUUCUUAUCCAGUUAUACCAAUGUGCACUUCACAUAACAAACAACUCUUCAUUUACCUUUUAAAGUAUAAUUUGACAAACCUAUUAUGCAAUUAAUGCGAAACGUCACCCGCUUACGAAUUAUGAUCAGCUGCUUCGACAGACAUUGCGAUUAUAAAUAAAUGCGAAAAAAUAUAGCAAGUAUUAUUUAAAUUUUAUUUAUAUAUUUUGUCAAAUUAAGACAAACACCGCUAUCUUAUUUUUACAUUACAGUUGUGCGUAAGGGCAAUAUUUCAAUGUGCAUGAUAUACUUAUGUAUAUAUGUAUGGCCAAUGACGUAAACACCUUCCCGAAACUUUGGCAGGGACUCAGGAUCUCAUAUCUGAGUCUCCACACAAGUUUGUUAGUCCGAAAUGGUUGACGUGAAGUGUUCAGUUUUGGUGGAAACUGAAAAAUUGGUAACACAAAUAAUAAUGUAUACGAUCAUUUACUAUACUCAGCGUUACAUUUUUUACUGAUAAUACGACGAACGUAGAAUAAGGCCAAAUUGUUCAUUUAAUGCACUGACAGUUUUGAUGUUAUGUUGUAAAAUAUAAAAUAAUAUAAUGUAGGUAGAAUAUUGUACAAACGAUUUAAUUAAGCUUUGCGACAAAUAAGCAUACGAACCCAGGUGCUCAAGCGAAAGAUUUAAUUUUUUUUUUUGUGUAAAAAAAUUUUGGGUACCAAUAAUAAAAUUAUCAAAAUAUUUAUAUAUUUCUAAUGUGAAAAGGAAUGUCUUUUGUUCAUUAUAUAUAACCAAAUUAUCUUUACUUUAUAGUAGUCAAAGAGUAUUCAAGUAUAUAAUUAUGUUAUAUAGGCAGUGAAGCAAAAUUUUUAAACUCCAAAAUGUCUCUUAAUAUGCUGCCAUGACUCUACAGAAUACGAGAUAUUCCGAGUCCAACGCCAACGAAUCGCGAUAUUUUUAGAGAGGACAGACAUUUUACAAAAUAAACGAAGAUGUUACGUUUACGGCGUAUGAUUUAUAAGAACUGUUCCGUGGGCCGUUCGACUUGUAUAUCCGUUCGAAAAUUUAUUUGAUGUUGAGAAUACUAAGUUUUAUUAUAUAAAUAUCGUAAUAAAUACAAGUAACUAAUGAAUUUU